CACGGAGGGUGCAAGCGUUAUUCGGAAUCACUGGGCGUAAAGAGCGCGUAGGCGGUCACUUAAGUCAGAUGUGAAAACCCGGGGCUUAACACCGGAAGAGCAUUUGAAACUAAGGGACUUGAGUAUGGGAGAGGGAAGUGGAAUUGCUGGUGUAGCGGUGAAAUGCGUAGAUAUCAGGAAGAACACCGGUGGUGAUGGCGACUUCCUGGACCAAUACUGACACUGAGGCGAGAAAGCGUGGGGAGCAAACAGG
rnacentral:rRNA from 1 species